GUGUUUUGGCAGCACAUAUACUGAAAUAGUAACAAUACAAAGAAGACUAGUAUGGCCCCUGCAUAAGGAUGACACUAAAAUUCACGAAGCAUUCCAUGUUUUU
ensembl:snRNA U6 U6 spliceosomal RNA